GUAGGUGGCAAGCGUUGUCCGGAAUUAUUGGGCGUAAAGCGCGCGCAGGUGGUUCUUUAAGUCUGAUGUGAAAGCCCCCGGCUCAACCGGGGAGGGUCAUUGGAAACUGGGGAACUUGAGUGCAGGAGAGGAAAGUGGAACUCCACGUGUAGCGGUGAAAUGCGUAGAUAUGUGGAGGAACACCAGUGGCGAAGGCGACUUUCUGGCCUGUAACUGACACUGAGGCGCGAAAGCGUGGGGAGCAAACAGGAUUAGAUACCCUGGUAGUCCACGCCGUAAACGAUGAGUGCUAAGUGUUGGGGGGGUUUCCCGCCCCUCAGUGCUGCAGCUAACGCAUUAAGCACUCCGCCUGGGGAUACGGUCGCAAGACUG
rnacentral:rRNA from 1 species